rnacentral:rRNA from 1 species
UGGGGAAUAUUGCACAAUGGGGGAAACCCUGAUGCAGCGACGCCGCGUGAAGGAAGAAGUAUUUCGGUAUGUAAACUUCUAUCAGCAGGGAAGAAGAUGACGGUACCUGACUAAGAAGCCCCGGCUAACUACGUGCCAGCAGCCGCGGUAAUACGUAGGGGGCAAGCGUUAUCCGGAUUUACUGGGUGUAAAGGGAGCGUAGACGGAGCGGCAAGUCUGGAGUGAAAACCCAGGGCUUAACCUUGGGACUGCUUUGGAAACUGUCGUUCUUGAGUGCCGGAGGGGUAAGCGGAAUUCCUAGUGUAGCGGUGAAAUGCGUAGAUAUUAGGAGGAACACCAGUGGCGAAGGCGGCUUACUGGACGGCAACUGACGUUGAGGCUCGAAAGCGUGGGGAGCAAACA